CCACAUUUUACAAUUCCUGAAACUGAAGUUCAUAGAGGACAGGUAAUUUGCACAAGACUAUGGAGCUAAAGAGUUACAGACUCUGGAUUUCCAUUCAGAGUGUACAGCUCCUAAAUUCAGCUACGUGGUUGCUUUAUAGUUAAUCUAGAUUCAUCUAUAAUAUAUAGCACACCAUUUAGUUUUAAGUGUAUAGUCCAAUAGAAAAUUAUUUCUGUAGAGUGGAAACACGACUUACACACCAAGAAGACUACUAGUUGAACCAAGUGACCCGGGAAAUCAUCUGAGAAAUUCAGUUUCCUGGCUUGAACAGCUACACACUUGUAGUGGACAGAAACUACAGCUGAAUUUCUUUCGUAGGAGCCUGGGAAUUACAGCCUUAUGUGUAUAGCUGAACUUUGCUGAAGCACUGAGCUCUGAUUAAUGCAAUUAA
rnacentral:lncRNA from 1 species